CUGGACAUGAAGGCCUCUAUGUGCAAGUAGAGGUCAGAAAACUUGGGAGAGCUGGUUCUCUCCUAUUUUGGGCCUGGGGCUAGAACUCAGGUUGAUAAUAGUCCCCUCCACCCCCAACGAAAUAAGCUAAUUCAAGAAUAAUUUUUUUUAAAAAGGCAUAUCUAUUUGGAAAUGGGUUCCCGGGUGAGUCCACCAGCCUCAGAGGUCGGGGGCAGAGUAUGGCUGGUACUUUUUUGAUAGAUUGUAGGCGAAGAAAAUGACAAGUCUACCACAAGCUGGGCUUGUGCCCAGGUAUGGUCAUCUAGGGUGGGGCUUGGGUGGCUGGUGACUAAAGAUGAGGAUUAGUACAGUCAGGAAUUCAGGACUGGAUUUUUUGGCGCCUUUUUGUGUUCUGAGGCUUUCUGAGUAGGCGGGGUUGGAAGGAGAGAGAGAGAGAAAAUUUGGAAUUUACCGGGGAUGAGUGGGUGGGGAACAAGCCAACAAGCCGGGGACUCCAAAAACAGGUGAUAAGCAGCAUUACCAGUUGACCCGACCCCAAAUGCAUCUUUUAAUAAUUCUCUCACUAGUUUUGAACCUGCUCUAAUGGAAAUCUUGCCGACUGACUUCCUGGAUGCCCUACUUGGGUAUGGAGGGAGCCCUUUUCUUCCGGUCUUUGCGUCUCUGACUGACCCCUUCGACUCCUUCUGAGUUUCAGUUCUGCAACACACAGCAUUCCCCAUUCCUGGCUUCCCUUUCGCACACUCAUCACUUAUCUCUGGGUCAGCCUCCUCCCUCCCACCACGCCCGCCCGCAUCCCCAUCUUCCCAUCCCGUUCGCUCGCGCAGUCUUUCCCUCUCUUCCGGCUUCACUUGGCUCUAACCCUCGCGUCCCCCUCUCUCCAGAAGCGUUCUUUUCAUUUCCCGGUUGGAGGGGCGGCCCCCGAUUCCACUCCGGGGCACCGCUCCCUCGGGGACCUCCCCAGGCUCGGCCGUUGAAGGAGGCGUGGCGCACGAAUAACAGGUCUCCUGCCGCACACUCCGCGGGCCCGAGCGCAGACAAAGACAUUCCACGGCGCCCGCCCCCUCCGCGCACUCCGCCCGGGGGAGGGGGAGGGGAGACACGUGUACCGCUAGCGCCGGGUCACGUGGAAAAGAAAAAGAAAUGAAGGAAGGCGGCGGGCGCCCGCGCAGGCGCCCUAAGCUCGGAGCCCAAGCGGGGAGGCGACGUCUUCAGUCGGCGCAGGCGCCGUGGUCCAACUGGGGACUUUGUUCUCCGCGGAGAAACUCAAGGGCGGUGCCGGUAGGCGCCUGCGCACGCGCGCCGCCUCAUUUCCGGUGCUCUCUCGCUGGGUCGCUCGGGUCGGCUUCGGUCGCUGUCGCUCCUGUUCUUCCACCCCCGCCAACCGCCGCUCGGGCCUCAGCUGCCGCCGCGUCGCUUCCUCGCUCGUUCGCUCGCCACCCAUCAUCCCCGAUGCAGCGCCGGGACGAUCCUGCCUCGCGCCUCACCCGGUCCUCGGGCCGCAGCUGCUCCAAGGACCCGUCAGGUGCCCACCCCUCGGUGCGUCUGACCCCGUCUCGGCCGUCGCCGCUUCCUCACCGGCCCCGGGGAGGGGGAGGUGGGCCCAGAGGAGGCGCUCGGGCCUCGCCCGCCACCCAGCCGCCGCCGCUGCUGCCUCCCUCCACCCCUGGUCCCGACGCGACGGUGGUGGGUUCCGCGCCGACCCCGCUGCUGCCCCCGUCAGCCACAGCCGCGGUCAAGAUGGAGCCGGAGAAUAAGUACCUGCCUGAACUCAUGGCCGAGAAGGACUCGCUCGACCCGUCCUUCACUCACGCCAUGCAGCUGCUGUCCGUAGAAAUUGAGAAGAUUCAGAAGGGAGAGUCAAAAAAAGAUGACGAGGAGAAUUAUUUGGAUUUAUUUUCUCAUAAGAACAUGAAGCUGAAAGAACGCGUGCUGAUACCUGUCAAGCAGUAUCCAAAGUUCAAUUUUGUGGGGAAGAUUCUUGGACCACAAGGAAAUACAAUCAAAAGACUCCAGGAAGAGACUGGUGCAAAGAUCUCUGUCUUGGGGAAGGGUUCAAUGAGAGACAAAGCCAAGGAGGAAGAGUUGCGCAAGGGUGGAGACCCCAAAUAUGCCCAUUUAAAUAUGGAUCUGCAUGUCUUCAUUGAAGUCUUUGGACCCCCGUGUGAAGCUUAUGCUCUUAUGGCCCAUGCUAUGGAAGAAGUCAAGAAGUUCCUAGUACCAGAUAUGAUGGAUGAUAUCUGUCAGGAGCAGUUUCUAGAAUUGUCCUACUUGAACGGAGUACCUGAACCCUCUCGUGGUCGUGGGGUAUCUGUGAGAGGACGAGGAGCUGCCCCUCCUCCUCCACCUGUUCCCAGAGGACGUGGUGUUGGACCACCUAGAGGAGCUUUGGUUCGUGGAACCCCAGUGAGAGGCUCCAUCACCAGAGGUGCCACUGUGACUCGAGGAGUGCCACCCCCACCUACUGUGAGGGGUGCUCCAACACCAAGAGCUCGGACAGCUGGGAUUCAGAGAAUACCUUUGCCUCCCACACCUGCACCAGAAACAUACGAAGAUUAUGGAUAUGAUGAUACAUACGCAGAACAGAGUUACGAAGGCUAUGAAGGCUAUUACAGCCAGAGUCAAGGGGAGUCAGAGUAUUAUGACUAUGGACAUGGGGAGCUCCAAGAUUCUUACGAAGCCUACGGACAAGAUGACUGGAAUGGGACCAGGCCAUCACUGAAGGCUCCUCCAGCUAGGCCAGUGAAGGGAGCAUACAGAGAGCAUCCAUAUGGACGUUAUUAAAAACAAACAGGAGGGAAAAAUAUCAGUUAUGAGCAAAGUUGUUACUGAUUUCUUGUAUCCCAGGAUUCCUGUUGCUUUACCCACAACAGACAAGUGACUGAAAAUUCCUGAGGCAUUUCCUGGAAUAGAAUGGGUAUCAGAGACCCAUAUCAGGAAAGGCAGAGACGGUGAGAGUGAAGUAGUGAGUAGUGAACGAAGAAGGAAUUAUCGCUCAGUUGCUACCCAGUGCUCCAGGUAAGAAUGAAUAUGCAUCCAGAGCUUCGAGGCUAUUGUGGUUGUCACCAAUAAAUAAAGCCAGGUCAGACCAUUUUCUGAUUGAAAAAGAGCAACUCUUAUUAACACUCAGGUUUCUCUCAUGUUGGGGUGGAGGAUAGAUCUGAGGCUACCAAAUGGCAUUGGCGAGAGAUUGACAUAGUAAUAGAUGCUUGGCUUACAGGUUUUGGAGCUCUGUAGCCCACAAGGCUUUGUCCCAAGAACAAAAGUAGGCUAAGGAAGAAGAGAACUCACAUUGAAAGCCUACUGUGUCUACUUAUAUUUACAACCAAUAGUGGGAACACUAAGAUAAUCUACACUGCUUCUAUAGCAAGUUGAGAGUAUAACAUACCAAGACUGCUACAUGUCAAUCCAUUCUCUGGAACAACUGCUUCUGUAAGACAGUAACUGUAGUCAGUAUUCUCUCAGAGGCUGUUUAUUAAAGAUGUACAGUAAAGAUUGCAAACUGGGUGGUAGUAGCAAUUCUUGGGAGGCAGAGGCAGGAAGAUUUCAGAGUUCAAGACCAGCCUGUUCUACAGAGCAAAUUUCAGGAUAGCUGAGCUACUUAGGAAACCCUGUCUCAGGGAAAAGUAAAACAAAAACCUGCUGUCGAUCCUUUUACAUCAGAUGAGACAUUCAUGCCGUGAGGCCUUGGUCACUAGUAUGUGUAUAUGGAGGCCUUCGGACAACUUUGUAGAGUUGGUUCUCCCAGCUACAUGGAUUCAAGUCACCAGGCUUGUCCACAAACAUCUACCUUUAUCCACUGAGAGAUUGCUAGCUUCAUUUUUUAAACAUAACAACAAUUUUAAUGCCAGAAAAUAUCAGUAGCAGCCGAAGUCACACAGUUGUUAUGUAGCAAAGGUGAUAUCUUCAGGCAGUGUGAUUUUAGACUGGGAUCAGUCACAAGGGUAUACUGCAUUUAGCAGGCCGUUCACCUGCUAGCUAAAGGCGUCUUGGAGAACUCAUUGCCAUUCUUUCCUGGAAGGAAGGAGACCUCUCUUCCAGGACAUUAUCAAAAAUACCUGCUGAAGUGUGGACCCUUGUGUUUGUGCAGCUGAAUCACGGGUCUUCAUCAUUUUAUCACCCCUGCCCUCUGGAACCUCAGUAUAACUGGAGGGAGUAAGGCCUACAUAGUUACAGUAUUCUGCUGCUAUACAGGCUAGGAAGCCUGGAGCUGCUGGGGGUCCUCAGGAUGGAGAGGGUGAAACUUAAAUUCAUAAGGAAUGAUGUGCAUUGGUGAUUUGCCUGAGUGUAUGUCUAUGUGGAACCAGAGUUACAGACAACUGAGCUGCAGUGUGGGUGCUGAUAGUUGCAUACUUCACAGCAUUAUUAUAACUGAAAGAGCAAAUGUAUAUAAAACAAGGGCUAGGCCUAGAGAAUUAUUGCUCUCAUACCCGGUGUUUGGGCUGUGCAAGGAUGGGAAGUUUGCACCUCCCCUUAUGUUUGUAGUCUCCUAGUCAUCUGUGAUUUACGAAGCCAAAACUAUUCUCAGUGUAUCUCAAGGUGACCUUGAAUUUUAAUUUUAAUUUUAUUUUUUGAGGCAGGGUUUCUUUGUUUAGUCCUGACUGACCUCGAACUCAGAAACCUGCCUGCCUCUGCCUCCCUAGUGCUGGGAUUAAAGGCAUGGCCCACCACUGCCUGGCGACCUUGAACUUUUUUUUGAUCUUCAUCCCCACCUCCCAUCCAAAGCUCUCUAAGGACUGUUGGUUGAGAUGACUAUCUCUUUACUUUUUGAAUGUGGGUCUUACUAUUAGCUUUGACAUAGUACUCACUGAGUAGAUCAGGCUAGCCUCAAUUAUAGGGACCUGCCCCUGCCGCCUGUGCUGUGCUUACCCAUACCUGGCACUUACAUCUAAUACAAACUCCCAAGACUUUUUUUUUUUUCGGGACAGGGUCUCUCUGUAGCUUUGUCCUGGAACUCACUAGGCUGGCCUUGAACCUGCUUCUGACUCCUGAGUGCUGGGAUUAAAGGCAUGCACCACUAUGCCUGGCUGAUUUGUCCACCUUAAAUUCUCAGUUAUGUGCUAAUUGCUGUGUGUGUCAUAUCAGCAUCCCAUUUCGUUCCCACAGUUGACCAUGCGCUGCUAGGAUUUUGCUGGUGUGUGGCUUCCCACACUACACUGGUCGAGCAUUCUUCUAUUGUGCAGUGAUUUAGAGAAUCACGGUAUUGAGGAGCUCCACAGGUCAGCUUUCUGAAAGGUGCUCCCGACUGUGGUGCCCAGAAUGCCUCUGCCUUUGCCUCUAGACUUCUGUAGGUAAAAGAUUUGAAUUCUUAGGGAAUUCUGUGGACUCAUGUGCACGCCUCGAUUUCAUAUUAAUAGUCAUUGCAUGCUUAGAGCAAGCACACAUCUGAUGAAUAUUUAAUAACAUGGAAUAGACAGGCUGGAAACAGCUGUGUGAGACAGCAGCUGCUGGGGGGAGGGGAGGAAGUCCACUACACUGCCUAAUUACCCCUUCUUCUGUUUUCAGGCCUAGAGAAGAAGGACUGUCUUUUCUAGGCCCAUUAGCAGAGAAGUCCUAUAGUGGUAAGCACUGCAUCCUGGAACAGUUGGGUCCACUUAGCAAUUUUCCAUACCCUGGGCUGUCGAGAUAAUACAUUCUCACCUAGUACUCUGCCAACCACAUCUCUCCUUCAGGAGAAAGGCUGUGUGUUUUCUCAUAGCUGUAAUCCCUGGCACUCAGCAGACAGAAGCAGGAGAUAAAAUGCCAGCCUUUACUGGCUCACUGAUAGACUUGUGUCUGGCAGGGACUUGGAUUUAAUAGGUAGGAAGAGUAUAUACAUAGACUCUAAAUAAACAGCCAUGUGUGGUGGUACAUGCCUGUGAUCCCAGCACUCGAAGGGCAGAGGUGUAGAACAAACAUUUCAAGGGUAGCCUUAGCUAGCUAAAGGUCAGCCUAGACUAAAUAAAGAGACCUUGUGUUAAACAAAAUUUUCCAAAAUUUCUGGUUGUUCGUUGUGAUAGGGUGUGACUAUAUCACUAGCUGACCUGCAACUUCACAAAGAUUCACCUACCUCUGCUCCCAAGUUCUGGGAGUAAAGGCACAUGCCACCAUGCCUGGCUAUUUGUUUAUUUUAAAGGUUUAUUUUCUGUAUUGGGGUGUUUCACGUACAGAUAGAUUUGUGAACCAUGUGUGAUGGUCUAGUGUCUGUGGAGGUCAGAAGAGGGUGUUGAAUAUCCUGGGACUGUUAAGGCUGCAGUUAACAGUUACGCUCCACCAUGUGAGUGCGGGAAAGCAAACCCUUGUUCUCUAAAGGCAGGCAGUGCUCUUACCCACUGCACCAUUCCUCCAGCCCAGCUUUGGCAUUUCUUGACCAUAAUCGUAGCAUCUCAUCCUUACCAUUCCUGUCCUGUGUUGCAGUGACUGCCUUUGGCUGCAUCCCAAGCAGGAAGUGGACAGGUAGAGUUCUCAGAUGUCACACAGGCAACCCCCUUGGUUUAAGGAGCUUCCUGCUUCAAGAAGGCCCUGUGGAAGUUGUGGGUCUCGAGAAAAAUUUGAUCCUUUGGGGUGUUUCUGGCCAGUGAACCACAGGCCAUUUGACAAAACAAGUCAGGAAAUAAAAGCAGAAAUUUGGGUAUAAUUUAAUAUUGUGUUUAAGAUGUUUGUUGGUGUCGGGCGGUGGUGGCGCACAGCUUUAAUCCCAGCACUUGGCAGUCAGAGGCAGGCAGAUUUCUCAGUUCAAGGCCAGCCUGGUCUACAAGUGAGUUCCAGGCCAGCCAGAGCUACACAGAGAAACCCUGUCUCAAAAAAACAAAACAAACAAACAUGUUUGAUGUUUGUUGGCUGCCCCUUUGUCAGUCUUUGGAGUUGGGCUUUUCCAUCAGGGUGUUCCCAUCCCUUCCCUGGUACUAUGAUGUCUGUGAAGCUUGAAGUAGGUAAGUUUGGGAUUAGACAUUGAACACGGUUUCUCGGAUCUUUUGUUUCCAGCAAUUAAGAUGUAAGUCUAGUGUUUCCAUUUCCCAGCUCUUUGAAAUUAGAAUGUGGGAAGAAACAGAAUUUGAGGAAGAAAUAGGGCUAAAAGUAUAGCCCAGUAGUGCUGGGUUCCAUUCUAGCACUGAGGGCAAAGGGGGAAUAGAAGAAAAUACUCUGUACUCUGAUAAGACCUUUUUUAUUUUAUAUAUAUUUUAGAUAGUCUUAUACAGCAUAGGCUGGCCUUGAACUCACUGUGUAGUGAUGACACAGCUUUUGGUCUUCACCUCUGAACACUAACAUUCCUUGUGUACAUCACUACACCCCCACUUCAUGCAAUUGAAACUAAGGCUUUGCAUGUGUUAUAAAAGUGCUCUACCCAGCCUCACGUAGUGACGUACGCCUUUAAUUCCAGCACUUGGGAAGCAGAGGCAGGCGGAUUUCUGAGUUCAAGGCUAGCCUGGUCUACAGAGAGUUCCAGGACAGCUAGGGCUGCUCAGAGAAACCCUGUCUCGAAAAACCAAAAAAAGAAAAAAGAAAAAGAAAGUGCUCUAGCAACAGGAACAUCUCUAGCCCCUCAUAGGAUUCAUAAUACGCUUCUUCCUAGAAAUUUGUAUAAAUAGUCCUUUUAAUUUUUUAAAAAGAUAUAUUGAUUGUUAGAACAAGUUAGAACACCUACUGUGUGUUAGUUACUGCAGAGUAGGUGAUCAGUAAUGGAUCUAAGUCCUUCCCUUCACGGAGCUCACUGUGUUUUGAGAAGUAGACGCUGUACAGAAAACUCAUUAUUCCACAUCAUUUCAGCUGUGAGCUCUCCUUCCUUGGAACCCUUCCUACUCUGGGGAAUCCUUUCAUGGUUUCUUUAAUGUGUCUGAAUUACUUAGUAAGUUAUAUUGUGAUAAGUUUCAAAACAAAAACUAGUCUAUUGAAAGUAAACUGCCUGGGUUUCUUUUUUUUUCUUUCUUUUUUUUUUCUUUUCCUACAUGUAAGAGGUUUAUUUGGGGGGCGGGGGGAGGAAGAGAGUAAGGUGGCAGCAGAAUGAGAAAGGGGGAAAGAGAGCCUGUCUGGGUUUCUAAGAAAGGGGGAUGGAGCAGCUGCCACGUAAAGGAAGACUUGCUUGAGCCCCAGGGGCUUGGGAGCUGGCUUAGGGGAAGGAUAUGGAACACUGAGCUGAGCAGACGGUAGUGUGAGCAGAUUCAAGGGGAGGCAGGGCUUUUAUGAUUGCACCAGUCGCACUGUUGCUAGGAUCUUGGACAUGUUAUGCAAACCCUGUACAACUGAGACACACCCCCAACCCAUGUUUCUGAUUUUAAAAUUUGUUAGUACAUGGAGAACCUGUUUGGAAGCUUUGUUAGUCCAGACAAACAGAAGUGAGUUAGGUCUGUGGCAGGGCUGGAAUCUAACUCUGUAACACUCCAGGUCUGUAACACUCCCCAUACUGUGUGUAUAUAGGUAGCCAUGUAACUAACUCCAUGUAUGUGGAAGUCAGAGGACACAACCUGGGCUGGACCUCUUCUUCCAUGCUUAUGUGGAUUCUUGUUAAGCAGCAAGCACUUUUAUGCACUGAGCUAUCUUGCUGCCCCAACCUAUUUUUUGUUUGAGAAGAUUGUCUCUCUGAAGUCCUGGUUGUCCUGGAAUUAGCUGUGUAGAGUAGGAUGGUUUUAAACUUAGAUCCUUCUGUCUCUGCCUAUUGAUGGUUGGGAUUAAAGAUGUGCUAGCAUACAACCUAAUUUUUUUAAGUGAGGGAAGGCACUAGAAAGGAGCUAAAGCGGGAACUCCAUCUUUAAGCAUGGGGACGUGAGUUUGAUUUUCUUCUUCAUGUGAUAGUGUACAUUUAUAAUCCUAGUGCUGGGGAGGCAGACAGGCAGAUCCUUGACUUGGAGCCAGCCAGCCAGUCUAGCCUCUGCUCAGGUCUCAGCAACAGAGUCUUUUAAAACAUGGUGGAACAAUUGUCUAGUGCAUGCAUCAAGCCCUGAGAUGGAUUCCAUGGUGUCCUGCAGCCCCCAGGCUAUGGUAGAUUAAUAUGAUUGAAAAUGAAGAUUAGAGCUGAAGAGACGGCUCAGUGGUUAAAAGAUUUAAGAGUGCUUGCUACUUUUUCAGAGGACCCAAUUUGGUUCCUGGCACCCAGAUUGGCAGCUCACAAUCACUUGUAGCUUGAGAUCCAGGAUUUGAUGCCCUCUCUUGGCCUGCUUGCACCUUGGCCCAGAAAGGCACACAUAUACAUAUAAAAAGUGAGGCUGUAGAGAACUAGGUAUAUUCAGCAGCUCCUAGAACAUAACUUAGUGACUAGGUAUGGGAGAAGAGAGAUGUAUUAAGAUUACAGGCUGAAGCUGGACAUGGGAAUGAGAACAGGCCUUCGAGGUGGGAGGAUCAGUGGCUUUUAGAAGAAGCUGGGCUGGAGAGUGGCUCAGCCUUGGUUCCUGGCACUCGUACUACCAGGUCCAGGGGAUCCGAUGCCUCUGACCUCCUGAAGCACGUGAGUUCAGGAGCAGGUACACAUGUACAUGCACGCAUAAUUUUAAAGAUCUUUUCAAAAGUAGAAUCACUUCUGUGGAUUUUUACAUAAUAUCAGGCCCCAGCCCAAGCGUCCCAGGAUAAGAUGUGUCCUCUAGGUAUAACCCUGAGAUGGACCUCUGAACUUAAGAUAGAACUUCCUUGCUCCUUUUUAAACUCAAGCUGUUUUGGUUUGGGAUAAAUAAAGCAUUGGAUUUUGAAAGCUGGAAGUGGUGGAGCGUGCACUUUGAAGGUCGAGACAGACAGACCUCUGAGUUCAAGGCCAAGCUUGGUCUACAUAGUGAGUUCCUAAAUGAGGCCAAGUGAGACUCUUGUCUGAAAACAAACAGGGGCUGGAUCUCAGCAGUUAAGAGCACUGCCUGCUCUUCCAAAGGAUUCAGUCAAUUCUUAGCACUCACGUGGGCAGUUCACAGCUGUCUAAGUACAGACCCAGGGGAUCCAAUACUUCACACAGUUGUGAAUGCAGACAAAGCAUCAAUGUACAUAAAAUAAAGUUAAUUUAAAAAAAAAAAACUGAAAGCCAGAUGUGGUGGUACACGCCUUUAUUCCUAGAACUCAGGAAGCAGAGGCAGGUGGAUUUCUGAAUUUGAGGCCAGCCUGGUCUACAGAGUGAGUUCCAGGACAGCCAGGACUACACAGAGAAACCCUGUCUCGAAAAACCAAAAAACAACAACAAAAAAACAAAAAACUGAAUGUAGUGACAAUUCCGGGAUUUUGGUUUCUUUAAAAACACAAAUAUAAGUAUGUGUUACUGCAGGCUGGAGAGAUGGCUCAGUGUUUAUGAACACUGACUGCUCUUUGAAGGUCCUGAGUUCAAUUCCUGGCAGCCACAUGGUGACUCACAACCAUCUGUAAUGGGAUCUGAUGCUGUCUUCUGGUGUGUCUGAAGACAGUGACAUUGUACUGGCAUGAAAUGAAUAAAAAAAAAAAAACAAGAAUGUGUUACGGCUUUAAUCCCAGGUGGGGGGAUAUGAUCCUGCCUCGCACUGUCCACGGCCGCGGACUAUGAUUUGCUUUGUGCUCUCGCAGCGGUGUGGUUUUGCCAGCCACAGAGAGUUUUUGUGAUUGUGUAACAUUUGGAAUUCUGGGAACUUUUCGGAGGGUACGUGAAUUCUAGGGCCCAGAGAGGUGGGUUGGUGGUGGUUCAGGAGGGAUGGUUGUUGCCAUUUCCUAGUCCAAAGAAGAAAGAAAUGAAAUUCAGAUCUCUCUCUCUCCACCUCCCCCCUCUCCCUCUUCUGUCUAGUAAAAGGUUGAGAAGAGGUGGGUGAGGUAAAGGGUGGAAAAGAGCCCACAAAGUCACAAAUCCCAGCUGUACCUGAAAGCCAAGUAAGGCCUCUCAGCCCCCUCUUCUCAGUCAUCCAUGGGUGGGAGAGCUGCAUAGGGUUUGAGACAUAACCUCAUUGCCAAAGAAAGCUCACAGAGCCUGUGAGCGUUUACCUCCUGCUCAUCUGUGUGUACCUAGGAACCUGCCUGCUGAACACAGCAAGGAGGGUGGCGAUGGACAGGUGGGCAGGGAAGGUUGGAAGGUACAAAGCCUGACCAGAUGAAAGCUGAGAAACCCCCAUAGCUUCCAGUUCCUUAAUUUUCCACUUUGUGUCUUUGCAGCUGUCAACAGAGCCUGGAUCCCAGGAGCGACCUGCUGUAUAGAGGCUGGCCUGGGCCAUAGAAACCCAGGAGAGGAGUCAACAGUUGUGUUUCACCCCACCUCUUGAUCUGAUUUUCUCACAGAAAGCCAGGCAGGAUCUGCUACUUAGGAGUCUUUAGUCCCACAUGGAGUCCUCAGAGCUUCAGGGGCUCAGUGCUAACCGUUCAACCUACUCAAGGCAUUUUAGUAGGAGGGGCUGGGGCUUAACGUGGUGUUUGAUCACUUCACUUGCACUUGUAGAGGACCUGGGUUCACUUUAUCUUACAAUAAAUGAAUGAAUAAAUAAAUAAACAAAUAAAUGGCUUUAAAGAGUUGAAAGGCAGCAGACAUCGUAGCGCACACCAUUAAUCCCCGCACUCAGGAGGCAGAGACAGAUGGAGUUCAAAGCCAGCCUGAUCUACAUUGCAAGUUCUAGGACAGCCAGGUCUACACAAACCUGUCUUGAAACACCAAAGACCAGGGACUAAAUCCCUGGUGUGGCUCUCCAGGUCAGAACACUCAGCUCCUGUGCUAUUCCCGGUCUCUUGUUUCUGCUUAGUUUCCCAUAGAAUGUUCUGGAACAUACUACUAUAUAUGCCCCCCACUGUCACACCUUUAUUGGAACCUAUAGCCUGGGUGCCCUUGGACAUUCCAGAGGACUCCCAGAAAAGAAGGUCACCCUCUGUAAUCUGUGAAGGAAAGUUGAGAAUCAUUUACUUUAGGUAAGGCAUUUUAAACUCUGAGCCUGUGUUCGUCUUUGUUAGCACUUGUCCACAAGUUCUUGAAGGGUGGGGCUGUUCUGCAUCCCCUCUGUACUAAAGUUUUCAAGUAUCUGCCUCUGCAUGAAGCGUUCAAUAAAGGCUUGGUCAAGCGAUGAACGGUGACUAGUUCUACCUACUAGCUUCUGGGCCAGUGGUCUAGCCUCAGCCUUUCUCUUCGGAGAUUGUAAGUCAUGUAUAACCUCCAGGUCCAGGAUAGCUGCUUGAGGGUCACAGCCGGUUACAGGGAAGCUCAGAGUUGAAGUCAAACAUCUUGGCUUCAAUUCCAGUUCAUUCCUUUGGUGUUUAUUCCAUAAGCGAUUUCUCUCCCACUGAAGGGGAACCCGAGAAACGUUUUAAAUCUGAAGAGCUGGGCAGAGUACAGCCCCAACAUUCUUCCUUUCUUUCAGGCUUAUUUUUAGAAAUUCUGUCACAGCAUCCACCUCCGUUACUGCUUAGCAUCCUAGGGAUCUUUCUCUUGAGAGGUCUGACUUAGGGUAUUUGGCUAACCCACCCAGCUGCCCUGCUUGUCAGUCACCUGCAAGCUGAGAAGGAUGACGUCAGCUUUCCCCAAGCCUCUGGACUGCUCUGAGACAUAAAUAUUUUAAAAGGGCCUUUCUCUCACCGUUGCCAGGGUGAUGGACUCUCAGGGGACGAGUGGGAGUGUGGAGGCAGGACGGGCUCUGGAAGGGUGGGUGUGAGGCCUGGCCGCCAGCCAGGACUAAGCUCGGGAGGGGAGGCUGGAGCUGUGCCUUGCGUGCCUCUCCUUCGUUGAGCCCUUAGCUGUUAGGAUGCUUCCAGGCCCGUCUCUGGGCUCAGAUGCCGUUUGGUUUUUGGUAAGUUGACGUUUUCUGGGCCUUGGUUUUAACAUCUCUUGGUGUUGGAGGAAUCUCGUCUUAGUGCAGGUAAGUGGAAAAUAAAGAACGUGAAAGUA